UCUGGUGUCAGCCGCCGCGGUAAAACCAGCACCUCGAGUGGUCAGGAGGUUUAUUGGGCCUAAAGCAUCCGUAGCCGGCUCUGCAAGUCUUCGGUUAAAUCCACCUGCUCAACAGAUGGGCUGCUGGAGAUACUACAGAGCUAGGGAGUGGGAGAGGCAGACGGUAUUCAGUGGGUAGGGGUAAAAUCCUCUGAUCCAUUGAGGACCACCAGUGGCGAAGGCGGUCUGCCAGAACACGUUCGACGGUGAGGGAUGAAAGCUGGGGGAGCAAACCGGAUUAGAUACCCGGGUAGUCCCAGCUGUAAACGAUGCAAACUCGGUGAUGCAUUGGCUUAUGGCCAAUGCAGUGCCGCAGGGAAGCCGUUAAGUCUGCCGCCUGGGAAGUACGGACGCAAGUCUGAAACUUAAAGGAAUUGGCGGGGGAGCACCACAAGGGGUGAAGCCUGCGGUUCAAUUGGAGUCAACGCCAGGAAUCUUACCCGGGGAGACAGCAGAAUGAAGGUCAAGCUGAAGACUUUACCAGACAAGCU
rnacentral:rRNA from 2 species